GAGAUAACAGAUAUUAAACAGAGAGUCACAAAAGGAUUCCAUGAUUGCAACAGACUCCAAUGCUAUGAAAACAGAGUCCAAGGUUCUCUUAGGAUGCAUGACAUGGGGACCUAUUGUAGACUAGGGGAAGGGGUGAAUAUUGUGACAAUGUGUUUCAGUCUGAAGUUUGAGCAGAGCCUGGGUAAGAGGGUGGGAGUGGUGAAUGGGAGAAGAACAUUCUAGAUGGAAAGAACUGUGAGUGGCCAGGCCCUGAGGAUGGAAGGCCAUUGGCAAGUUCCCAGAGGCCCAAAUGCCUGGGGAGUGGUGAGCAAAAAGGAAGGUGGCAGAGACAAAGCUGGAACAGCAGAUGGGCAGACCUUCGUUACCCUCAUGCCCGGCUCACCUCACUAUGGCUGUCUGGAACACACGCCCCUGUGAACUGUCAAUGAGACCCCCCUGGCCUUGUCAUCUUUGAGUUGGGGCAGAUGUUUGAACAAAAAGGACAUUUCCUGAUCCAAACCCCUACACUGGUUUUCCAUCAUCACCUGAAAGGCAGAGUUCUCCACACCACCCAGCCUACUGCAUCUCCUGCUAGUGCCCCAAAGGUCAUUCCUCAAAAACUCGCUGGUUUUUGUUUCAUUCCCCACUGUGGAAUAUUUCUACCUCUCCCUUCUGAAUUCACCAUGGCCGGUUUCAAUGUUACACAUGCCUUUGUUUCAUUCCCCACUGUGGAAUAUUUCCACCUCUGCCUUCUGAAUUCACCAUGGCCGGUUUCAAUGUUUACUUCCUUCUUCACUAAGCAAACGGGCCUGUAUAGAUCCUACUGGCCGGCUGACUCCUUUUCUGAUCAAUCCUGUGUACAGAGCUUUCUUCCAUUAUGUCCAAAAAUGAAUUAAAACUUAGGUGGCAC